GUCUGGUGCCAGCAGCCGCGGUAAGACGGAGGAUGCAAGCGUUAUCCGGAAUUAUUGGGCGUAAAGCGUCCGUAGGUGGUUUUACAAGUCAGUUGUUAAAGCCCACAGCUCAACUGUGGAUGGGCAAUUGAAACUGUAAGACUUGAGUGUGGUAGGGGUAGAGGGAAUUCCUAGUGUAGCGGUGAAAUGCGUAGAUAUUAGGAAGAACACCAGUGGCGAAGGCGCUCUACUGGGCCAUAACUGACACUGAUGGACGAAAGCUAGGGGAGCGAAAGGGAUUAGAUACCCCUGUAGUCCUAGCUGUAAACGAUGGACACUAGGUGUUGGCCGUAUCGACCCGGUCAGUAUCGAAGCAAACGCGUUAAGUGUCCCGCCUGGGGAGUACGCACGCAAGUGUGAAACUCAAAGGAAUUGACGGGGGCCCGCACAAGCGGUGGAGUAUGUGGUUUAAUUCGAUGCAACGCGAAGAACCUUACCAGGGAUUGACAUCCUACGAACUUCUGAGAAAUCAGUUGGUGCCUUCGGGAGCGUAGAGACAGGUGGUGCAUGGCCGUUCUU
rnacentral:rRNA from 1 species